rnacentral:sRNA from 1 species
UCCGAUGGAUCCAAAGGAUCCGAUGGAUCCAAAGGAUCCGAUGGAUCCAAAGGAUCCGAUGGAUCCAAAGGAUUAAAAGGAUCCGAUGGAUCCAAAGGAUCCGAUGGAUCGAAAGGAUCCGAUGGAUCCAAAGGAUCCGAUGGAUCCAAAGGAUCCGAUGGAUCCAAAGGAUCCGAUGGAUCCGAUGGA